GCGCCAAACAAUUCUUGUGCGCUCUAACCUUAAUUUUUUUAUGCAACAAGAAAUGCAAAGUUAAUAACAACUACUUCACGCAGACGCUCUGGCUUAGGGGCUCCCUGAGCUCAUGGGCCCCUGGGCCUGGGCCCGGUUGGCCCUUUUGGUAAUCCAUCCCUGGUGAUGGCCUGUCUGCCAUGUAGUUUAUCAGAAAAGACAUCUCUACCACGUGAUUUAUCAGAAAAGGUAUCUCUGCCAUGUGGUUUAUCAGAAAAGCUGCUGAGACCAAACCUACGCCCUUGAGUUAAACCAUAAGUUCAAAAUGGACUUGAACUACAUAUCUUCUUCCGAUGGCUUCUGUUGUCCUAUAAAUCAUUCACUAGGUCAAAGCACUAGUGUCGUGUCUGAUCUGUAGGUUUGUGAUGGAAAAAACAUUCAUCUUUUCUGAUCCGAAUAAAACUCUUUGGCAGUCUGGCAGAGUGUGGAUCAAAAAAGGUUUAUUUUGCCAGUGCAAUACCAACAGCGUAAACCUGAGCAAGUCAGCAAGACAAUACUGAGUUUACAGAGUUUUGCAUUCUGUUUUAUACAUCUGAAGAGAACCUUUUGUCACCCUAAACCACCUAUGACCCUCCCCAUAGGAUAUACAGUACGUAUAUUGCUUUUUAAUUGGAGUAUUGGGGGCCCGGAAAUGUUUUCAUGUCAUAUUUGGUCAGCCAUCAGUGCCUCCCCCUUAUGGCCGAGGCCCAACAAUCGCACCCGGCAUAUUCUAAAGCAACCCAUGGUUGGAAACGGCCCAAUUCAGGAGAAGAAUGCGGGUGCAGCGGGACAGGGGAGCCUAAAAUGUGCCAAGUUUAAGAUAAAGAUGAGUGUGCAGUAGGACAGGGAAGGCUCUCAAGGCCCUCAGCUGGCAUGCGGAGAGUUCAGUAAGACUCUCCAUACAUCAGUAUGUCCAGACUUGAUACAUAUUUAAACAAAGAGUACCCAUAAUGCAAUUCACAUCAACGGUAUAAAUCAUUAUGUAGUGGCAUAGCAGUUCUAACAGCUUGCUAUCAUGAAUAUCCCAGAGGCCAUACUGAUUGUUAACAUUCUACACACACUGGUUAUUAUACUGAUUGUUAAUAGUCUACACACACAGGUUGUUGAGUUUUCAUUCACAUAUUUUCCACCACACUAGACCUCUGAAAAACUCUACCCUAGUGAAGUGAAAAAGUGAUCAAAUACACCAUGCAAACACAUUAUUCAGUACUGAGAUGUUAAUGUUGUUAAGUUAAUGUUGGUCACAAUUAAAAUAAACUCAAACUAAAAAACUGUACUUUGUGCACAUAUCAAAGUCAUAUGUCUACAAUACAGUUGAACAUAAGGUGUGAGACAACAGAGAAAUACAAAAAAAUCCUUCUUGAUACAUUCUUCAUUUAUAUCACUUUACAAUGUUUAAUAUCUUUGAAGUAUUGAGCUGAUUUUCAAUGAUUCCAUCUUAUAGGGGUCAAAUUCGCCUCAUCUUGUCAUUUUUGGUUAGUCUUUUAGAUAAAUGCCCAAUCUUAAUGUAACACCUCUACCAGGCUUCACUGUUAUUUCUUCUUACUCUGGGUUUUUAUGUCAUAGUCAUUAUCUGUUAUGAUCUUUGAAGGGACCUCCUGCAAUCAAAAUGAGAGGGAGUUCAUUAUUAUGGGCUGUCUAGUCAACAGCAUAUUUUUUGCACACAUGGCUUAGAUUUAAAUGUACAUUGUGCAUGGACAUAUUGCUUGUUACUGCUGUGUGUAUUUAGUACAUGCGUUAUGUUGCUUUUACGCUAUGCAGAUAUGGUAAAGUCUGUAUGAGUCACACUGACCUCCUGCAGUAUAACGCUGCCCCUGCAACCACCAUGGCUGCCAACAGACAGCCAAGUAUCCAUACCACAGCGCUCCCCUUUGAUGACUCGGCUGUUUCUGUGUGUGUGCGAACAUCGCAAAACCACUUAGGAAAUAAUCAACAAAUCAUUUCUUCACUGACCAUCAGCGAUCUGACACUGCAGGACAAUAUUUGUGUUUUCUUAAGAUCUACAGUGUGUGAGUGGUACUGCCAUGUUUCCUCUCACACUGCGCAUUAAUACUUCUGUACUGGAAACUGCAGUAAGAUGACUUCCUUUUCCUUUCCUCAUUCCAGUCAAACAGUCAUCAUCACAUGAUACUUCGUAACUGCCUAGUUCCUCAUAUAAAAAAAAUUAUAUUUAUAGCUAUUAAAGAAUAUGAAUACUAUUGAACAUAUUGACUGAUAGAGUAACAUCCACAUUAUUGGAGACAGGAUCACACUGUAUCCAGUAUGGAGUAUAGGUUUUUGUAACAGAAUGCCUUUCCUGUUUUGCGACAGAAUUACCUUACUGAAAGAAAGGGUGUUGCGGAGGAAGCAGUCAAAUUACUAGGAGUGUAAGCCCCCUCUGUCCUGGCAGCUUGGCCACUGGGUGGUCCGUGAUGAAGCAAAACACAUAGACACCACUGUCAGACACCCUGAGCUCAGAGAUCCUCAGGGAACAGUUCCUGCUUCCCAACCUGCCCAGGUACUCCACUCGACCCUGGUACGUCGGCUCCGGAAAGAUCCCAGCACUGUGGUACACGUACCUCGGUGUGAUGCAAUGACUCUGGUCCAAGCACCACAUCUCAGAGAGCACCUUGUAAUGGUGUCCUGCGGGAGACUCUUCCGGAAAGUCGUAGGAACAUGGGAGAACUAUGGAGGAGCCGGCUGUUGCGUAAACUGGGCCAUCGGGCAUGUGUACGACCCAGGAGACGGACAGGUCAACUGAAAGGUCAGGAGGGGAAAGGCAUGACCUUCUGCGAUAUAGUAUCUGACAAAUCACUGCUUUCACACUAUUUACAGCCCCAGGGCCAGAUUAAGAACACUGUGGGCCCUGAGGCUAUACAUGUUCAGAGGGCCAUCUAGGAAAUGUAUUAAUUUGUAACCACAAUGAAAGCUAUCCUAACUAUCCCACCCUUGACACAACACAACAAAUACACAAUUCUCUAUAGCAGCAUUUCAUCAAUGACAACUCAACUACACCAAUUGUGAACAACUAUAUGAGACUAAUCAGAAUGUCAAAAACCUAACACUCAAUAAUUCUAUUAAUUCUAUUACACUGAAAUAUUAAGAAAGCACGUAGAACAUAAUGGAAGCAACAUGAUUAUACAACACAAAUUAAAUACUAGAAAACACAACACAGACAUGCACGUUUUUGUACCCUAGGCUAUUGUAUGACAAGUCAGCUACACAAAUUGUUAACACUAGAUGAGAGAAAAAGGUAAAUCAGUCGUCUCCUUAUCCUAGAUACCAAGAAUCAUCGUCUCCUUAUCCUAGAUACCAAGAAUUCUAGUUAGCCCUUUUUAUUAUUAAACAGGGGCUGAUCGUCUAAAGCAGUACCCUUAGGCAGAGCUUCGGUGAUCUUCAGUGUUGUCGUUAGGCAUCAUCUCUUUUCUCUCCGGUGUUACUUGCAAGGUCGAUUAAUGCGCAUCGCUGCCAGUAGCUUUCGUAAAGUCCGCAUACUUGUAAUGAUGGAGCCUUGAAGGCGUUUAAGCUACAGGUUAAAAUUGCCUAACUUUGUGCCUCCUCUAAAUAAACCCGCACAGCAGAUUUCUGUCUACCAACACGAUUUCGUGUGUUAAUAACGAAACAGCCAACUAGUAGAGUGACAGCACUUGUCAAGCAUUUAUGUCCUUCCGGAUUGACGGAAGGCUUCACCGAUAAUAUUUUGACAGUUGUUUUGAACACGUUGGAUACUCGAACAUUUGGUGGGCACGCAGAUUAUUCAGCUAGUUGAUUAUAGUCCUAGAUAAUUCUCUAUUCUGACAUGCAGUUCAGUUGCUAUCUGACAUCGCAGUAUUCAGAUGUUAUAAUACUUGUAUCAUGGUAGGGUAUUUACUUUUCCAGACAACAAGUAGCCUGAUAACAGUGAAAGCGCUUCGCCGUGGCCAUAUUGAAUGGAUUUGAAUUGCGACCUUUAGAAAAACAGUGGCCAGUAUGUGUUGCGGUAAUAGUUUAGUAUAAUAGUAUAUUCUUCCCACUGCACGCUUUUAUUGUGGAGCUAUCGUGAAUGUUUUGGACUGUAUUGGUAGUUGUAUGCUAGGUCUUGGACUUAUCUGUAUAGGCUGCAUCACCUCCUUUUCGAGUUCGAGAUGGAGAAUUCCAGCACUUCAGAAACGUUCGUGCAAAACUCCUGGAAAUACCCGAAGGUAAUUUGUAGAAUAGUUCUGACCAUAACUGUGAUAACAAGCUGUUUUUGAACUUUACUAUACUAAAAACAACAUUGGAUGUGACAGAGGCGAAGCGAACUCAUAUGGUGCGGGUUUUUGGGUGGUGUAAGUUCGCAAGCUUUUGCUCAGUUCUUGCUGGAGUUGUUGGUGUGGUCUGACGUUACGCAAGUUAGUUCAUCAGAAAUAAGGAAAAUCUGUUCUUCUUUAAAUAAAGGUCAUUGAAGUAUCUGUUGUUUGCAAUUAAUGUGUGGUGACCAUCACUCUGCCAAGGCUUGUGUCCCUUCACGUCAAUGGCAAAUUGUAUGUCCUCUCAAAAUCUAAAAAAUGUCCCAUCUUUUUACAGAUUUAUAUACUCUCAAUAUUAAUAAAGGAAGUCUGUUUUGUAUAGCCAAAAGCACAAUAUAAAUACCCAAUUGUAAAUUUUGAGAAUCAAGGAUUUUGUGUUUUUUUAUAUAUAUAUAAAUGACCCAAAAGCACUUGUUCCCAUUCACACCCAGUAUAAAAUGGGCCUGUUAGUGAUGAUGGUUAAUUAGUUUCUUUAAUCAUAGGGCUAGAUAUUUUUUAUUUUGUUACUUUAUUAGUCCUUCGUCCUCUAACAUUGACAUUGCAUGUUUUAUACAAAUUUAAACAUUUUACUGUCAUACCUACACCAAGUUUAUCAGUCUGAUAGCCAGGCACUCAUAGCCUUCUUGUCGCACCCACACAUGAACAAGGAAUUGGCUACAAAUUUGCACCCAACCGAUGUAGGCCUACCUGUGCUGUCAGCCAUGGCCCUGCCAGCCCCCUUUAGUGAAUCCGGCCCUGACCAAAGACAUGUAUAUAUGUCUAUGGCCCUGACAGUGACAAAUAAAUUCCAGUCUUACCCGCCAGGAACAGUGAUACCAGGAUCAGUCCAGCAUCAACGGAUCUGACAGCCAUCUCUUUCACUUCUCACAGUCACAUCUGUCACUGUUGUCUGGGGCAUUAGAACAAGGGAUUGUAUGUGUUCUUGUACCUUUGAGUGUGUGUGUGUGCGUGCGUGUGUGUGUGCGUGCGUGUGUGUGGUGUGUGUGUGGGUCUGCUUGUGUUUUGACUUCCCCUUUGUCAGUUUCUUUCCUCAGAGAUAAUGAGACAUCAAAGCUAAGCAAUGAUGGCCUUCUAGUUAGCCAGUUAACAUUGAUGUUGUUCAGUUCAGUCAUGAUUGACCCCAUUUCCAUGGGAAGUUAUAGGGUCCUAUCAUGUUUUACUGUGCAAAUCAGUACAAUGAAUAUUGUCGUAAUUCUUAAGCAAACGCCUGUUUGCUAACAAUAACUGGUGUAAAUGCACAUACCUAUUACACUUUCGGCCAUUUACAAGUUCAUGACAUUCAUCCUGACAUUCCACAACCCUGUUAUCAUUACAGUGCAACAUAACAUAACAAAUGCAACAUCAUCAGCUUAUUUGAG
ensembl:lncRNA